GGGUGUAGCUCAGUGGUAGAGUGCAUGCCUAGCAUGCACGAGGUCUGGGUUCAAUACCCAGUACCUCCA
rnacentral:tRNA from 1 species